rnacentral:rRNA from 1 species
AGGUCCGAACCGGUGACCCGUGCAAUAGUCUCGGAUGACUUGUGGUAAGGAGUGAAAAGCUAAUCGAACCUCGUAAUAGCUGGUUCUCUCCGAAAUAGCUUUAGGGCUAGCGUUGUGUGUUCCUCUUGGGGGUAGAGCACUGGAAGAUUUCGACAGGGAGCAAUCUCGCGACAUCUAUCAAACUCCGAAUACCAAGAGCUAAAAGCACAGCAGUUAGGCUAUGGGGGCGAAGCUCCAUCAGCCAAAAGGGAAACAGCCCAGAUCUCUAAUUAAGGUCCCUAUUGUAUCCGAUGAUAGGACGGAGUGUAGUAUAUAAAGCUCAUUAUUGGAUUUGAGUAUGUUAGUAAGGAUGUCUCUUAGGAAAAUCCGGGAGAUGACGUAAAAGUAACAUCCAAGCAAAACUUAAAUAUAGGGGUUCGCCUCUGUAGAUUUUAUAAAGCACGCUUCCAAGAAAAGUAUCUAAGGUUAAUGCAAUAGAAUCCGUACCGCAAACCGACACAGGUGAUCAGGUCGAGUAGACCAAGGCGAACGAGUGAGAGGUCUUCAAGGAACUCGGCAAAAAAGCAGCCGUAACUUUGGAAUAAGGCUUGCCAUUCUUAAUUUAUUAAGUUUGGCCGCAGCGAAAGUAUCUCUGGCAACUGUUUAUCAAAAACACAGCUCCCUGCGAACUCGCAAGAGGAUGUAUAGGGGGUGACACCUGACCAAUGCCAGAAGGUCAAAUAUCGGUGGUGCAUGGUCGCAAGAUUGUGUGCUGGCUGAUAUAAGCCCUGGUGAAUGUCGGCCGUAACUAUAACGGUCCUAAGGUAGCGAAGUACCUUGUCGGGUAAGUUCCGACGCGCACGAAUGGUGUAAUGACUGGAGAACUGUCUCGAAGACCUGCUCGGUGAAAAUACAAUACCGGUGAAGAUGCCGGUUACCUGCAGAUAGACGAAAAGACCCUAGAAGCUUUACUGCAGCUUGAUAUUGAGUAUAUUGUUUUAAUGCGUAGCAUAGAUGGGAGAGGUUUGAUGGUUAGGGUCUCGGCUCUGAUCUACUCGUCAGUGAAAUACCAUUCUUUACAAUAAUAUGCUCUAAUCUCUAAGGCAAAAACUUAGAGAGACAGUAUCUGGUGGGUAGUUUUACUGGGGCGGUAUCCUCCUAAAGAGUAACGGAGGAGUUUAUUAAGGUUAGCUAGGCGCGAAUGGAAACCGUGCCGAUAGUGUAAUGGCACAAGCUAGCUUAACUGUAAGACGUACAUGUCGAGCAGAUACGAAAGUAGAACAUAGUGAACCGACAUUUCGCAUUAGAUGCGGAUGAAGAUUAACGGAUAAAAGCUACUCUAGGGAUAACAGGCUAGUUCCGCCUAAGAGUUCAUAUCGACGGCGGAGUUCGGCACCUCGAUGUCGGCUCACCUUAUCCUGGUGGUGGAGAAGCUGCCAAGGGUUUAGCUGUUCGCUAAUUAAAAAGGUACGCGAGCUGGGUUCAAACCGUUAAGAUCAUAAACGAUUGUGAUUUUAACAGUUUGAACCGUCGAGGAAAGUAAAGAAAUCUCGUAUAUUUCUUUCAAUGUUUUAAUCUGAGAUUAAGACCGCUAUACACAGUUGUGUAUAUCACGGCGGCCCCGCCAAUAAAACGACGGGGAGAAUUUCACUUAUAUCGGUGAAGUCCUACUUUUAUAAAAGAGGAUAAUACCGAGGGAAGCGUAAGCACCCGUAGAGACUAAAUGUGAAAUAUUUUUUGAGAAAUCAAAAGAGAAAGUUAUAGUCCAAUCCCACAAGUAAUUGUGGUUCCCAUUUUUGUAUUUAAACGCGCAAAAAUGAAGAGACUAAAUCAUUUUUAGUAAAAAAUGAUCGUCCGAACUUUUGUUUACAAAAGUUUUAGGAAGUAAAAUAUAGAUGCGUGAGACAGGUUGGUCUCCUAUCUACUGCAGGCGUUGAUUCUUGAGAAGAUCUGCUCUUAGUACGAGAGGACCGGAGUGGACUGACCUCUGGUGUGUGGGCUCUACUGCCAAGUGGACUGCCCAGUAGCUAUGUCGGGAAUGGAUAAGUUCUGAAAGCAUCUAAGAACGAAGCCAACUUCAAGAUGAGGAAUCGUUUGAGAAACCUAAGAGAUGAUUAGGUUGAUAGGCACUAGGUGUACAGACAGUAAUGUCUUUAGCCGAGGUGUACUAAUCGUUCGA